CCCUCACCUGCAAACCAAAAUAAAAUACAUAAAUAUUGAGUCAGCCUCCUCACAGUUGGUAACAAAACAUACAUGUGGAAUCAGUCUCGUAGUAACUGGUGAUAAAAUUUACACAUUCUAAGUCGACCUAUAAAUAUACUAUUCACUCUUUGCUAAGGAUCAAAUCAUGGAUUCAAUAGAAAACUGAUGUGGGGACAAAUUUGGUUUAAAUAUGCAAGCUUAUUGUAAGCAUGGAUCCCAUACAUGCUAUUGACAGGUGUCGUUUAUUUGUCAAUGACUCGUUCCGUGACUUGCAAAAUGGUUGAUUGGUGCCAUGAAAACCAUUCUUAUGGUUACUGAUGUAUCAAGUGCAUAAGGUUACAAUAAAGUGGCUGUGUGCCUAAA